AGGACGAACGCUGGCGGCGUGCUUAACACAUGCAAGUCGAGCGGAAAGGCCCUUCGGGGUACUCGAGCGGCGAACGGGUGAGUAACACGUGAGUAAUCUGCCCCUAGCUCUGGGAUAGCUCCGGGAAACCGGGAUUAAUACCGGAUACGACCACCUUAGACAUCUUUUGUGGUGGAAAGAAUUUCGGCUAGGGAUGAGCUCGCGGCCUAUCAGCUUGUUGGUGGGGUAACGGCCUACCAAGGCGACGACGGGUAGCCGGCCUGAGAGGGCGACCGGCCACACUGGGACUGAGACACGGCCCAGACUCCUACGGGAGGCAGCAGUGGGAAUAUUGCGCAAUGGGCGAAAGCCUGACGCAGCGACGCCGCGUGGGGGAUGAAGGCCUUCGGGUUGUAAACCCCUUUCAGCAGGGACGAAGCGAAAGUGACGGUACCUGCAGAAGAAGCGCCGGCUAACUACGUGCCAGCAGCCGC
rnacentral:rRNA from 1 species